rnacentral:rRNA from 1 species
UAGUCCACGCCGUAAACGAUGAAUACUAGGUGUAGGGGUUUCAACACCUCUGUGCCGCCGCUAACGCAUUAAGUAUUCCGCCUGGGGAGUACGGUCGCAAGAUUAAAACUCAAAGGAAUUGACGGGGGCCCGCACAAGUAGCGGAGCAUGUGGUUUAAUUCGAAGCAACGCGAAGAACCUUACCUAGACUUGACAUCUUCUGCAUUACCCUUAAUCGGGGAAGUUCCUUCGGGAACAGAAUGAC